AAGCAAGAAGCAAAUAUUGCAAUCAGUUUCGACCUGAUCUUAGAUAAUCACAUUAUCCUCGCUUU
rnacentral:tRNA from 1 species